GCACCUUGGAGUUCGCUGAGGGCUCUGGCCUCUUCCGCUGCCUCGAGCGGCGCCCCUGCAUCGAUCGCGGUCAGAUAGGCGUCGAGCGUUUCCGUGGAAGAUGCAGGAGCAUAACCGCCGGUGGCUCCGGGUGCGAU
rnacentral:sRNA from 1 species